CAUGCAAGUCGAACGAGGAUAUACCUUUCGGGGUAUAAACCGAGUGGCGCAAGGGUGAGUAAUGCAUAGAUUACCUGCCUCUAGGAUAAGGACAACUUUGUGAAAACGAAGCUAAUACUUAAUAAUACAAGAGAGAAUAAUUCUUUUUUGUCAAUGGGAGGGUAGCAAUACCUUUUGCCUAGAGAGGGGUUUAUGUCCUAUCAGCUUGUUGGUGGGGUAAUGGCCUACCAAGGCGAAGACGGGUAGCCGGUCUUAGAGGAUGGUCGGCCACACUGGGACUGAGACACUGCCCAGACUUCUACGGAAGGCUGCAGUCGAGAAUCUUUCGCAAUGCCCGAAAGGGUGACGAAGCGACGCCGCGUGAGUGAGGAAGGCCUUCGGGUUGUAAAGCUCUGUCAGGUGUUAAGAAAUAUAAGUGUGCUAAUACCACAUUUAUUUGACAAAGGCGCCAAAGGAAGCCACGGCUAACUCUGUGCCAGCAGCCGCGGUAAUACAGAGGUGGCAAGCGUUGUUCGGAAUUAUUGGGCGUAAAGAGCACGUAGGUGGGUUCGUAAGUCAGAUGUGAAAGCCUUCUGUUCAACGGAAGAAUUGCAUCUGAAACUGCGAGUCUUGAGUGUAGGAGGGGAGAAUGGAACUUCUGGUGGAGCGGUGAAAUGCGUAGAUAUCAGAAGGAACGCCGGCGGCGAAAGCGAUUCUCUGGCCUAUUACUGACACUCAGUGUGCGAAAGCUAGGGGAGCAAACGGGAUUAGAUACCCCGGUAGUCCUAGCUGUAAACGAUGGGCACUAAGUAGAGGGAAUUACCGAUGUUCUCUCUGCCGUAGCUAACGCAUUAAGUGCCCCGCCUGGGGAGUACGGCCGCAAGGCUAAAACUCAAAAGAAUUGACGGGGGCUCGCACAAGCGGUGGAGCAUGUGGCUUAAUUCGAUGCAACGCGAAAAACCUUACCGGGGCUUGACAUGGUAGAAGUAGGAACCCGAAAGGGUAACGAACGGUAUCCAGUCCGUAGCUAUCACAGGUGUUGCAUGGCUGUCGUCAGCUCGUGUCGUGAGACGUUGGGUUAAGUCCCCUAACGAGCGAAACCCUUGUUUUUAGUUACCAGCGGGUUAUGCCGGGUACUCUAGAAAGACCGCCGUCGUCAAGACGGAGGAAGGUGGGGAUGACGUCAAGUCAUCAUGGCCCUUAUGCCCCGGGCUGCACACGUGCUACAAUGGUCGGUACAAACGGAAGCGAAGCCGAGAGGUGGAGCGAAUCCUAAAAAGCCGAUCUCAGUUCGGAUUGGAGGCUGAAAUUCGCCUCCAUGAAGUUGGAAUCGCUAGUAAUCGCGGAUCAGCAUUGCCGCGGUGAAUAUGUUCCCGAGCCUUGUACACACCGCCCGUCAAGCCACCCAAGCAGGAUGCACCCGAAAACAUUAUAUCUAACCAGGUUUACCUGGAGGAAAGUGUUGAAGGAGUGUUUUGUGAGGAGGACUAAGUCGUAACAAGGUAGUCGUAGGAGAACCUGCGGCUGGAUCACCUCCUUUCU
rnacentral:rRNA from 1 species